AUUCUUUUGCAGUGGCGAUAUCAUAGCCUAUGAAGUCCAUCUGAGGCGUGAUUAUUGCAGUUGAAAACUUAACCCAAUAACACCUGCUUGGGGCGACUUGAAAUAUAGUCAUCCCUGGCAAUUUUUGAUAGUCUCAUGUGAGA
rnacentral:snRNA from 8 species